AGUUUAGAUUAUAUAUCCCUUGGGUGGAAGUGCUGCCAAGGAUGAGAUAUUGGACAAGUGAAUGUCAUCUUUCAUUCAAGCUGGAGAGGGAAGAUAUUUUGGGUUUCUGUUUUUGUGCUGUUAUUGAUCCCCAACUUCUUAAUUCUCAUAGAAGUUUGAUAACAUGUCUUGCGAAGUUGGAAUAUAAAUCUGGGAUGAUCUAUGACUUUCAUUUUCCAGAGAUCAAGCUAAUGAGUAAGAAGUUAGAUUCAAAACAUGUGUUCCUUUUGUACGAAACUCUCAACUGUGAGCAUUUCACUCAGGCUUCAUUCCAGUUUGCCAUUGAAGACUAUGAUUACAACACAAAGAAAUAUGUUAAAGUUUUAAGCAAGGGGAUGAUUCAGUGUGGUGUUCAUCCUAUAUCUUGGAAACAAUAUAGGACACAGUUGAUUCCGAAACUAGAAAUGAUUAAAACCAAGAAGGAUGGUAUCGGGAUUCGGGAAUAACCAGAGAAGGAUGAUUGUGGAACACUGAAUUUUGGAAGAAGAAAUCAAGGCCAAAAUUAUAAUUAGUAAGCCAAAAUGGAUGUGGCUAUGAAACUGAAAAUGACAUUAGUUGUUCAUUAGCAAUGGAUCCUAAUGGCUCGUUGCAGAUGGUGGAAGAUCUUUAAUCAUGCUGUGUUGGUGCCUAAACGCUUGUAAUUAUUUACUCUCAUCCUUGUGUCUUGAUUUUGCUGGUUUGAACUUUUUGUGCGUAAUUCAUAUUAGACCCUCGAGGUGUUUGCUUCCUUUUGAAGUAGACUCUGAAAAUUGGUUAAAUUAUACCAGGAAAAUCAAAUUCAAUUGUGACAGGAAAAAA